CUUUUUCUCUCUUUGUUUAUUAAACUGACAUUAUCUUGACCUACGAAAUCUUUCUCACAUGCAGCCUUCCAAGUCUCUCCCCCAUCCAGAUGCAGCAAGUGAACAAGUAGGGGGUGCACAGAGAACAACAUCCCAUGAGUGAAGAUGUACAGACGAGCUCUCCUGGUGAAAAUGCACUGGGGAAAUGAUGAGAUGGACAAAGAUGGGAGAGAAAAUCUUCACAGCAGCAGUAAGACAAGCAGAGAAGGAAAGACAGAUGGGCUGAAGAUUGGAGUAAAGACUAUUUAAAUAAAAAAUUAUGAAAGGGAAUUUGGUAAAGGAAAGAGCCCUCGCUGAUGCAUUUCUC
ensembl:lncRNA